GACGAACGCUGGCGGCGCGCUUAACACAUGCAAGUCGAGCGAUGAAAUUUCGACAGAACCCUUCGGGGUGAAGAUGAAAUGGAUUAGCGGCGGACGGGUGAGUAACACGUGAGUAACCUGCCUUAGACAUUGGGAUAGCCUCGGGAAACCGGGAUUAAUACCAAAUGAAAUCACAUAUGCACAUGCAUAAAUGAUCAAAGCUCCGGCGGUCUAAGAUGGACUCGCGUCCCAUUAGCUAGUCGGUGAGGUAACGGCCCACCAAGGCGACGAUGGGUAGCCGGCCUGAGAGGGUGAACGGCCACAUUGGAACUGAGAAACGGUCCAAACUCCUACGGGAGGCAGCAGUGGGGAAUAUUGCACAAUGGAGGGAACUCUGAUGCAGCGACGCCGCGUGAACGAAGAAGGCUUUCGAGUCGUAAAGUUCUUUUAUAUGGGAAGGUAAUGACGGUACCAUAAGAAAAAGCCCCGGCUAACUACGUGCCAGCAGCCGCGGUAAUACGUAGGGGGCUAGCGUUGUCCGGAAUCACUGGGCGUAAAGGGUUCGCAGGCGGAAAUGUAAGUCAGGUGUAAAAGGCAGUAGCUUAACUACUGUAAGCAUUUGAAACUGCAUAUCUUGAGAAGAGUAGAGGUAAGUGGAAUUUUUAGUGUAGCGGUGAAAUGCGUAGAUAUUAAAAAGAAUACCGGUGGCGAAGGCGACUUACUGGGCUCAUUCUGACGCUGAGGAACGAAAGCGUGGGUAGCAAACAGG
rnacentral:rRNA from 1 species